UAGCUCAGUUGGUAGAGCAUGGUGCUUGCAACUCCAGGGUUGUGGAUUUGAUUCCCAC
rfam:Salmo salar isolate Sally breed double haploid chromosome ssa10, whole genome shotgun sequence.